rnacentral:lncRNA from 1 species
AUUAUGGAGUUUUAUGUUUGUAAAUAUUUAAAUACAUACAUCUUAUUAUAUGACGUGAUACAAUAAUACUUUAAAUUCAUCUUGACUUUAUUUUUAUAAUUGUAUACAUUUCUUUUAUAUAUGUAUAUAGAUACAUGUAUAAUUUUUAAACGAUAAUACGCCUGAUUUAUUUUAAUUAUCGUAGAUCCCGUCUACUACUCGACGCCUUCAUCGUCGUUACAGUCGUCGUGCUGUCGAUGCGAAGAGGAAAAAAUUGGAAGAAGGAGCGAGACGAAGCUGCUGGCACAGGUUGUUGGUGAUGAUAGAUACAACAACGGCAUCAUCCUCCGUCAGGUGGUCGUCGCGAUCGUCGCCCCUCCGGUACGACGAAUCCGCUCGAAGAGGUGUCCAACGACUGCCAUAUAUAUAUAUAUAUAUGGUACGCGCUGAGCGAUUAUUCCGUCGCACCGCAGCUCCUUCGAACCCGGCGCUUCAUUUAUUCUCGUCGAGAAUCUCUUGGAUGCUCACUUUCCAGUAACAGGCGCCCAAUCCGUUUUCCUGAUCCCACACGGUGACCAGUUCGAUCACCGACGGGAACAUCAAGCCAAGGGUGGACAGGCAUACGGCGCCUACCAAGGAAAUGAACGGACCCAAGUUUGGUAUGGCAAUAGCCACGGUCACCGUGAAUAUCACCAUCACGAUACGUAUCACGUAUUCGGCUAAGAGUUUCCUCGAACCGAAAUAUUGUUUCACGUUUUUCCAGAUUAUCUCCAUGGGCACGUAAAAUUGGAGGCCGUAGGUGAGGAAGAUGGCCACGGCGAUCAUCAAUUUGGCGGAUUGGGCAAGGAUAUCGCUCUGCUCGGGGUUCAAUGUGAUCGAGGCUUUCGUGUCCUCGCCGUAUCUCCAGUAACCGAAGAAACCUACGGUGCUGUAUAACAAUACCACGAAGAACAUGCCGGUGUUCAGGACACCUGGGCAACCGAUGAAGUGCGUCGGUGUCUUCAUGUUGUUCUCGAGGGGCAUUACCUGUGAAAAGUGAAAUUAUUAGAAAGUCUAUCAGAAUGUAGAACUUUGGAUUUUCGUCAACGUUUCUUUUUUGUGUCAAAAUUUUUAACAAUUUUGAUAAAUUUUUACUUCCAUGAAAUUUGUAAUAAAUGUAGGAAAUAACGAGUCAAUCUAAAAUUCUUUCUGAGAAGAUAUAAAUUUUGUGAAUAUAUAUAUAUAUGUAUAUAUGUGUGUAUGAUGUAAGGAAAUUGAAAAAUAUUUUGAUUAAGAAAUCCAAAGAAUGUCCUUAGCAUCGUUGUCGAUCAUAUGACGAGCCUGUCAUAUGAUCCAAUGGAAUUUUACGAUUAUGACAAUGGUGCUUGUUGAUUUUGUUAUCAUAUUGAAUGAAAUAAUUGGUAUGCUUUGAAAGGAAUACACGUAACAAAAGUUAAACGUAAGAUUUGCUGUUAUGCGUCUUUCUUGUAACAAAUCGCAGUAAUCGUAUUACGUGUGAUGAUAAAUUCAACAAAAGGAUUUGCAGUUCUUGUUUCUUGUUAUACGCCAUUAUAUAAUAGCUUGCGUCUAUUA